GUCACUGCUUAGGACUGAGCAUUGUGCUCUCCAAGAGCCUAGUGGGGAAAUAACAUUCAAACUAGUCCUGCCAUGGACCCUGACAUGUGCCUAUAUUUGCAGGCUAACCAUUCCUUUUGCUUUGCACAAGCUUCAAGUUCUCAGGGCUUAAUCAGCCAAGAGAGUGGUGUGUUUUUCUAAUUCACCACAAGGAUGCUGUGCAGGCAAGCAAAAGCUCUGGGUAUUACAACAUAGGGCCUGCUGGCUUAUCAAGGAUAUAUUAGCUAAAUGGGGCAUGGAGAUAAGUCUGCAUACUCCAUGUAGUGGCUCAUUUAAUGAAGAAUGAAUAGCUCUUGGUAGUCGGGUGUCAAAGAAAUAGCACCAUCCUCGGGAUCAGAAUAGUGCUUCUUCUCUCUCAUUUUUAUUAUUUUUUAAAAAUUCAUUUCUGUUGGAGUAUAGUUGAUUUAGUGUUGUGUUAGUUUCUACUAUAUAGCAAAGCGAAUCAAUCAUACACAUACAUAUCCACUCUUUUUUAGAUUCUCUUACUGUUGUGUGGCACUGCAGUGGCAGCUGCACGGCACUGGAGCAACUGUGAGGAUAUAAGCCUGUCCAAGGGCAAAGAUGCCCCAGCAAGACGGUGGGCACUGGAGCAGUGGCUGCGUGGUGCUGAAGCAGUGGCUGUGUGGCACUGGAGCGGCUGUGAGGAGAUACCCCACGUCCAAGGGCAAAGGAGAAGCCCCAACAAGAAGUGUUGGCUGUUGUGGGUGUUACCCACAGUUAUAUUAUAAAAGUGAGCUGCAUCUCCACGGCUUCAGUCUUAGAGCACCAGCUGGUGAGCAAUGUGAGUAGCUAUGCACAAGUUUCAAUUUCACAUCUUUCUGCCUUUACUAAUGUAUAGUGGGUGAAAGCGUAUGGAGUUGAAAAAAUGUUGAAAUUGUGGUCUUCUCUUCCAUCUCAAUGGUGCGCUUUUGGGAAACUCAUAGCUUUUUCUGUUAGUUUCUGUUUCCCCAAGUCUUCAGUGUUUGAAUUUUGAUAGUUAUCCCUUAGGGUCAUUUUAUAACAUAUAUGAGUCUGUGACACUGAAUUGAAACACUCUAGGACAGAUGCAGAUGGAAGCAAAAGGAACCCUGGGUGCUCUUGCUAGCAGCAGCUUUCUCCAGAUGUCUUUAAAUCUUUACCUGACUUGUAGGACAACCCAUCUGCCUUAUUUUCCCUCCUUCUCACUUAUGAAGGAACUGAAUUAGAAACACAUUUGUGUAUGAGGAAAUGUGUCUAGGGUUGGUGAGAAAUUCAGUUCUCAUAUUGGACUCUGGAGUGUUAAACUUUGAGUUUUGGACAUAAUCUCUUGCCUUCUAGGGCAGGUAUCUUGAAAACACAUUAGAACUACUUUAGAAAUAGCUUUUGUGCGAAUCUGCCACCUUGACAGGAUCCUAAAAGAUGGAAACUAAAUUGAUGUGGUAUAUUAAGUUUAGCAUGACCUUGAACAACUGGUUUUGCAGUGUUGGCUGUUGUGGGUGUUACCCACAGUUAUAUUAUAAAAGUGAGCUGCAUCUCCACGGCUUCAGUCUUAGAGCACCAGCUGGUGAGCAAUGCAAGAAGCAGACUGGUAACCAACUUACAUCAUCAUCAACAUGAAGAUAACCACAGUGCCAAUGCUUCUGACCCUGGCUGUUUGUCUCAUACAAGGUGAGCAAUUUGCCUAUAAUCUAAGCCUCUUGCCACACAUUCCAAAGCUCUAGGCAGAGACUUCUCUCCCUUCCUCCCUCCUCAGUGUGUGUGUGUGUGUGUGUGUGUGUGUGUGCGCGUGUGCGUGCGUGCGCACAUGCAUGUGUAUACAAAACCCUGAACUAUCUUGCCAGACAUAGAGUUUUGAAGAAUUACAUAUGCAACUUUAUAAAUAGGGUAUCUUUAAAAAGGACAUGUAGUGUGAGAUAAUCUGAAUUUUUAUCCAUCAGAAAUUCUUCCAUUAAUUCAACAUUAAUUCUGAAAAGCUAAUAGAGUCUUCUCCAUAUUCCCCUCACCAAACAUAUAAGUUCAUAGUGAUAUGAAUUAUAUAUAUAUACAUAUUUAGAAUAUUAAAUGCAUGAAACAUAAUUAUAUGAAUCAUGUAGACAACAGAUAUUUAAAACUUAGAUGUACUUAAUAUGUAUACUUUAAUACUCUACUUAUAUAUAAACAUUAAAAAAUCAAAUUCAAUCAUCUGGUUUUAAACCAGCAUGCUUUCUAGCAAAUUUUAUUUUUGUGUUUUCAAAUCCUAAAUGAAUUGAAAGUAUUUCUUCUACAUGGUAAGGGUCUUUCUUCUUUGGGUGCCAGGAGAUGAUAGGUUUUUGCUUUUGCUAUCUGAAUUUGAAGGGAACACAGAUUACCUAGACUUAACUUGCUGUGAAGUUUUAUGUAUUUUAAAAGGAAACUUCAGAGAUGGAGAGUGAGGAGACUAUUAUACACAAAUGAUACCCACUUUCCUAAAAUGAGUGUCUUGGUACCAAAAAUAGUCUGUUAAUGAGAGAGCGUAUUAGUCUGUAAUUUUAAUUUUAAUGUUCUGUGACCAAUACCUUCAUAUUAAUAAUACAGACAUAUUAUACUGAUGGGAACUAAUAGCUUUGUUAAAAACACAGAAACAGGUGUUUAUGAAUCAAGGCAUAAUAUUUACCAGAUCUCUAAAUUUUGUGGCUGUGACUAGGAGACAGUAUUACCAGAAUCCAGAAAAUUUAAUUUUAUGUACAUAGGAUAUAAACUUUAUGCUACACUAUUCCUUAAAACUGUGAUUGAUAUAUUGGAUAUGUGUGUUAUAAUUUUAAAAGAAGCCUACAAUACUUUGUUCUGAAAGGAUUUUUUAAGAAGUUAGAUAUUUUGAGGGGGUCAGAAAGUAUAUGAAUAUUAUUUUUUGAAGAAAUUGGCACUUUAUGAAUGAGAGGUCUUUGUUA
ensembl:lncRNA